rnacentral:rRNA from 1 species
AGUGAACGCUGGCGGUAGGCCUAACACAUGCAAGUCGAACGGCAGCACAGGAGAGCUUGCUCUCUGGGUGGCGAGUGGCGGACGGGUGAGGAAUACAUCGGAAUCUACUUUUUCGUGGGGGAUAACGUAGGGAAACUUACGCUAAUACCGCAUACGACCUACGGGUGAAAGCAGGGGAUCUUCGGACCUUGCGCGAUUGAAUGAGCCGAUGUCGGAUUAGCUAGUUGGCGGGGUAAAGGCCCACCAAGGCGACGAUCCGUAGCUGGUCUGAGAGGAUAAUCAGCCACACUGGAACUGAGACACGGUCCAGACUCCUACGGGAGGCAGCAGUGGGGAAUAUUGGACAAUGGGCGCAAGCCUGAUCCAGCCAUACCGCGUGGGUGAAGAAGGCCUUCGGGUUGUAAAGCCCUUUUGUUGGGAAAGAAAUCCAGCUGGUUAAUACCCGGUUGGGAUGACGGUACCCAAAGAAUAAGCACCGGCUAACUUCGUGCCAGCAGCCGCCGCAG